CCGGGGGCGGGGCCUGAGCUCGUGGCUGACUAGCCCUGGGCUUGUUUGGCGGGAAGUUGGUUUAGCGCGACUACCUGUGGCGGCGCGGGUGUCCUCGUUGUCGCCUUGUCUCGCCUCAGAGGCUUUCAGUUCUCCCUCCAUGAACUCGGCGUAGGGCUUAGUGCUCCUUCGCUCCGAGGACGCGAUGAUUCCCAGGAAGCGCCCAGAAACCCAGAAGACCCCCAAAGUGGUGGUGCGCCCCGGGAGCAGAAGGAGUCCCCGGGAGCGGGAGCCGGAGCCCGCGGCCAAGAAGCCCCGCACGAAGGGCCCCGGUUCUAGCAGGAGAUAUGACUCAGGCUGCCUUUGGGCGGGGCUGGCCAGCCUGCAGGUCCCGACAGUGGGCAGCAACAUCAUCAGGGCCCUGCACCAGCAUAAACUGGGCAAGGCUGCUUGGCCGUCGAUACAGCAGAGUCUGCAGCAGUGCUUCGUGCACUCCCUGGCUUCUUACCGGAUAGCCCAGAAGGCCUCCCCCUUUGACAGGAGGGCCACAGCCUUGGCCUGGCACCCAGCGCACCCCAGCACCCUGGCUGUGGCUUCCAAGGGGGGUGAUAUCAUGCUCUGGAACUUUGGCAUCAAGGACAAACCCACAUUCAUCAAAGGGAUCGGAGCUGGGGGCAGCAUCAUGGGCCUGAAGUUCAACCUUCUCAACACUGACCAGUUCUACGCCGCCUCCAUGGAGGGAACAACAAGGCUGCAGGACUUUCAAGGCAACACUGUCCGAGUUUUUGCCAGAACUGAUUGCUGCAACAUCUGGUUCUGCAGCUUGGAUGUGUCUGCCAAGAGCCGAGUGCUGGUCACAGGAGACAACAUGGGCCACGUGAUCCUGCUGAACACAGACGGCAAGGAGCUUUGGAAUCUCAGAAUGCACAAAAAGAAAGCGACCCAUGUGGCCCUGAACCCCUGCUGUGAGUGGUUACUGGCCACAGCCUCCGUAGAUCAAACAGUGAAGCUCUGGGACCUGCGCCAGGUUAAAGGGAAGGACAGCUUCCUCCACUUGCUGCCACACAGUCACCCUGUCAACGCAGCUUGCUUUAGCCCUGACGGAGCCCGGCUGCUGACCACGGACCAGCAGAACGAGAUCCGGGUUUACUCCGCUUCGCAGUGGGACCUCCCCGUGAGCCUGAUCCCGCACCCACACCGCCACUUCCAGCACCUCACCCCCAUCAAGGUGAGUGACAGGACAUGGACAGGGCAGUGAAGGUGAGCCUGCCUGCGGCCCUCACCUCUUCUCGCCCCACACAGCAGUCUCUGCCAUCGGGCUCUGCCUGCUCCUCUUGUUCCGCCUCUGCAGUUCCAUUUUGAAUUUUCUUAACCUAACAUGCUAUUUUCGUGAGUCUUUUUUGCUCAUCCAUGGGCACUUUCAGUGACGCUGAGCCUCUGUCCUGUCCUCACAGUUCUUCCGGUUACCUGUCUGCACAGUUUGUCCUCAAGCUAACCUUCACCUUAGUUUGUCUUGCAGGUGUAGGUGGCUUCUAGUAAUAGAAAUAAGUCCCCCACCUCCCCAGUUUGGAUCUCCGUGUCCUCUUGUAAAAAGGGAAUGGUAGUGUCUAACUAAUAGGGUGGUCGUGACGAUGAUCGGUGCACUGAAAGCACUUGCACCACACCUAGCACCCGGCAACCUGGCAUCCUCGGUACAACCUCAUCGUUGUGGGCCGGUACCCAGAUCCUAAUUUCAAAAGUUGUGUUCCCUACGAGUCAAGGACAGUUGACAUGUUUGAUGGAAACUCUGGGAAGUUGCUGUGUCAGCUCUGUGACCCAGAAUCUUCUGGUAUCAUUUCG